rnacentral:lncRNA from 1 species
UGAACACAGAUGGCACAUAAGCACAGAGGACGUGGUGUGGGCUGUGGGUCCAGGGCAGAGAGGAAGGACGUUCCAGCCUCUGCAGAGCAACAGUCCUAGGUGAAGAACAGUGUGAUGCUGGGGAAGGCUCUAGAACGAAGGCAGCGAAGCCCUGCGUGUGUCAGGUACGGGUGAACACCCACCUCCUUCCCCUCAGUCCUAUGAAAACAGCCUCAUUCCCAGAGCCAGA